rnacentral:lncRNA from 1 species
CAAGACUCUGUCAAAAAAAAAAAAAAAAGAAAGAAGAAAUAACAUUUUCAUCAAAUGAUAGUGAAACAAUUUGGUAUCCACAUGUAAAAACAAAAAAAGAAAAAGAAACAGAGCCUAUUUCUUAGGUUAGACAAAGAUUUCUUAGCUAAGACACAAAACUGAUACAUACGCAAUUAAUAAAAUGAAAAAGCAAGCCACAGACCAGGAGAAAAUGUUUGCAACUUACAUAUCAUGCACAUGGCUUGUAUCAAGACUACAUAAAAAAUCUUGCAAAUAAAUGGUGAAAAGAGAAACAACCCAGCUUUAAACUUGGGCAAAAGAUUUGAACAGGUAGUUCAAAAAAGAAGACAUGCAAAUGGCUAAUAAAAAGAUGAAAGGAUGUUCAACAUCAUUUGUCUUUAGGAUUCAAAUUAAAACACAGUGAGAUCUUUUUGAACACGCAUUAGAAAGGCUCUAAUGUAAAAGACCAGCCAUAUCAAGAGCUGGAGAUCAUGGACAAGGGAAACUCUCAUACACUACUGGCAGAAAAGCAAAAAAGUAUAAUUUGGAAACUGAUUUGUCAGUUUAUUAAAAAUGUAAAUAUAUAAAUAGUUUGUUACCCUGCUCUUUUCUUGCUAGAUAUUUACCCAAGACAAUCAAAAACAUAUGUUCAUAAAAGACUUGUACACAAAUGUCCAUGGAAGAUUUUUUUUUUGUGAUAGCUCAAAGCAGAAAAUAAAAGCCAAAUGCCCAUUGACAAUUGAGUGGGCUAAUACAUAUUUUAUUUGUAUACCACAUGAUAUGUAUGGUAUACCUAAAUAAAGGAAUUCUUCUCAGUAAUAAAAAGGAAUGGACUACUGAUACAUACAACAAAAUUAUGUAAUCUCAAAAUUAUGAUGCUAAGUAAAAGAAGUCACACAAAAACACAGUAUGUAUUGUAAGAUUACACUUACGUAUAGUUCUAUAAAAUGCAAAUAAAUCUACAAGUGACAGAAGCAGGUAAGUAGUUGCUUAGGGAUAGGGUGGACAGAGAGAGACGGAUUCUAAAUGGGCAUGAGAAAACUCAUGAUGAAAAUACUUAUUAUCUUAAUUGUAAUGAUGGUCUCACAGGUGUAUACAUAUGUUGAAACCUAUCAAAUUGUGCACUUUAAAUAUGUGCAGCUUAUUGUACUUCAAUGAUGCCUCCCUAAAGUGUUUUAAACAAUUAUAUGGCCCACAAAGCACAUCUUCCAGCCAGAGUGGCCUGGCUGUGGCCCAACAGCUUGAUUUCUCAUGUGUCAGGAAUAUCACAAAAGCCAGAAGAACACCCUGAAAUAAAUAGAAUUCUGCCACAGAAUGAUCCAAGUUCGUGUAUCUAUGACAUGCUGCAGGGAAAGAGAAACUUUCCUUCUCUGUCUUAUAAGAUUUGAAGAAAACCAGCCUUCCAAAGGACUGUUUUGCUGUGGCUGACUGCCUUCCCCCACCUUGUCAUAAGUUGUUCAGCCAUAAUUAGUUUGCUAGCACCAGGUUCUGCAAAGCCAGGGGGAUUUCUAUGGUUCAACACCCAGUUCCUAAAGAUUCUAGAUGACUUUAUAUCUGGAUCCCUGCUGUUAUCAACUGCUGCUUUUCAGUGUGUUAGUAGUGGCCAAUAGGGUUGGCUAUAGUCAAAUCUCAAGGAUUCCUUUGGUUUAAAAGAUAAAGUAAAUCCCCUGAGGAAUUUUCUAGCCAGCCUCAGUUAGCAAGAUGAGUUUAUCACAUCUGGGACAGGAGAAAAAUUAUUCUAAUUACAUCAUUUGAAUUUUUUAUUCCAGGGUCCACUUAGAGGUCUUUCUAUCUGGUGUUUCCGCCUUGCAGGGCCAGCUUCCCAGCUUGGAGCUCUCAUGAAGCCAUAUCAGAUGGCUGGGCAGAAAUGUAGGAACGGGCAAUGCAGAAGAGAAUUUGUCUACUCCAGAUAGAGGCACCCAAAGCACAGCAAUGCACACUGGCCUCCAUCACUCCUGCAGUGUGCUUCGGCCCUGGCAUAGAGAAAAGUCAGCUGCAGAGGAUUCAACACUUUCUCUACUAACAGAAUCUAUGCCAGUUUGGGGAACAAAGAGGAUUUAGUCUCUUUUCUGUCACUGGCAGCCAGAUCAACAGGAUAUGCCCUUCUGUUAGCAUAUUCCUUUUUCACAUGGAGGAUGAAGAAGGCAACAGCUUUAGCUCUGCUGAGCAACCAUGCUCCCCUGAGACUGAUGGCUCCCAAAUCAUUGAACCUGGAAGUUCAUCUGCUUAUCGUUUAGGAUAGGUUUCUCUACAGAUGGCUAAUUUCAUUUCCCACAUGCUGAAUUUCUUUCUAGCUUUCUGCUCAGAGGGGAAUCUAAAUUUCAUGCUCAGGGAGUGCCCUGCUCUUACCCCAUGAACAUAAGCUCCGAGAGAGAAUGUUUUCUCUGCUCAUUUCUAAUUCAUAAAAUAUGCAGCAAGUUUGUGGAAGAGGAGGAAAAAGACAUUACAUUGCCUACUUGGCAGUAACCAUCCCAUCCCAACCAAGAGGGGUGGCCUCAUCUGCAUGCAUAUGGAGAGGGUGUGGUCAAACUCUGUACCAUGAUGUUCUACUACCCAGGUCUUAGCCAGCUGAGCUGAGGAUGGACAACUAUUCAACAGAUGGUCAUCUCAAAAUCUGGAGAGGGACUUGCUGGCUUACAAAGACAAGCUGAAAUAAUCAGAUUACCUCUCUCUUAAACUUCACUCUGGGACUUUUAGCUUGACUCCUUCCAGCAUGGGCUGGAAGUGCAAAUAAAAAUAGAGAGCAUAUGGAUAGGCAGGAAGAAAAAAUCAGAGUAGAGAGAUGACCACAUGAUUCCUGAGAGAUACAGAGUGUUUAAGGCUACAGCUGAGCCUUACAAGAACUGGAACUUUGGAACUGGAAAGUUGCACAAUGUCAAAUAUAAAGGACAAUGUCAAAUAUAAAGAUAAUUUACUCAAGGUUUCAGUUUAUUACAACAAAAGAGCCCUCCUUAACAUUGACGUGGAUUUUAUCCCAGACAUUACAUUUGCAUUUACUAAACACUUACUCUAUGCCAGAUGCAUAGAGAAUAAGGCCCUAUCUUCCCUGUCCUCAGUUCUCUGAGUGGAAAAUAGAAAAAAAAAAUCUGUUUGCUAAGUAAGGUGUCCUUGAAAAAGGGAAAAAGGGAAAAUUAGAAACAGCACCUAACGUCACAAUUUGGUGGUAGAGUAUUUCUGCAAUAAUUGAAGGGCAGCCUGAUUUUCUAUCAGCAAAUCAAGGAAGCUCAGUCUCAAAUAGCUGGCCACAGAGUAUCUGCAGCUUAUCUGUGUUUAGAAUCAUUGGUUCGCCACUUCAGACAGUAUAGAUCUAGAUCUACUAGCCCAUUUGACAGUCUGGUUGGUUUCUCUCUGCUACAAGGCCACAGUCUGAAUGCUAUUUCUUGGUUUUCUCAAGAGGAGUAUCUUGAGGUGGCAUGGCUAAUUCUUAAAAAAUACAUAUUUUGUUCCCUAUUAAGAGGCCCAAAACCAAUAAGCAAGAAUAAUGCACAGACUUGAGGCACCUAGAUUAGGAUUUGGUAAAUGGGAGCUAAGUAGGAUGCAAGAAUUAUCUCACAUAAUCCUUAAAUAGUACCAUAAAGUACCUACUAUUAUUAUUUCCUUUUUUUUUUUGAGACAGGGUCUCACUCUGUGGCCCAGGCUGGAGUGCAGUGUUUCAAUCAUGGCUCAUUGCAGCCUCAACCUCCUGGGCUCAAGCGACCCUCCUACUUCAGCCUCCCAAAGUGCUGGGAUUAUAGGUGUGAGCCACCGUGCCUGGCCCAUUAUUUACAUUUUGUGAUUAAAAAACAAACAAACAAACAAAAAACCUAAAGGUUACUGGGGUUAAGUCAACUUGCCAAGGUCACCAGCCAGAGGUAAUGGAUUAGGUCCAGUUGUAUUUCCACGGUCUUCAUUAUGACACUAUGCAGGAAACAUCAUGCUUACAUAUUCUUAUCCAAACUAACUCAUAUCAUUGGCAAUAGCAAGAUAAUCAACAGUGUAAGUUACACUUUCACUCAUCACCCUCAGAGUAGCUGUUCUCUUUGGGGAGAACAGUUGCAUAGAACAACCUAGAAAAUGUGGAAUUUAAUCAAAUAAAGGAUAAUGCAUGAGUAGAUAUUCAAUGUCCUUAUCUCAUCACACAUAAAAAUAAAAAUAUGUAUGUGUAAAUAUUAACUAAUAUUCAGGCCUAUUACAGCAAAAAAAAUGAAGAAAGAAGGAGGGAGGAAGAGAGGAAGGGAAGGAAGGAAGGAAAGAAGGAAG